rnacentral:rRNA from 1 species
AACGAACGCUGGCGGCAGGCCUAACACAUGCAAGUCGAACGUGAAGCCACCUUCGGGUGGUGGAAAGUGGCAGACGGGUGAGUAACGCGUGGGAACGUGCCCUUCGGUUCGGGAUAACCCAGGGAAACUUGGGCUAAUACCGGAUACGCCCUCCGGGGGAAAGAUUCAUCGCCGAAAGAUCGGCCGCGUCGGAUUAGCUAGUUGGUGGGGUAAUUGCCUACCAAGGCGACGAUCCGUAGCUGGUCUGAGAGGAUGAUCAGCCACACUGGGACUGAGACACGGCCCAGACUCCUACGGGAGGCAGCAGUGGGGAAUAUUGGACAAUGGGCGCACGCCUGAUCCAGCCAUGCCGCGUGGGUGAAGAAGGCCCUAGGGUUGUAAAUCCCUUUCAGCGGGAAGAUAAUGACGGUACCCGCAGAAGAAGCCCCGGCUAACUCCGUG